CAGAUGUCAUUUUGCAUUACAUUUUAGAAGCCAAUAGACUGAAUGCUACAUGUGUGGCUGUGCAAUGGAUGUGUGGAUGUCUCUUAUGCAGAUUUGAAUGGGGCAGGUCAACCAACAUUAGGAAUAGGACGUAAGCUAUGUUACAUUCCAGGCAUCACAAUUUAAGAAAGAUGAGCUGGAAUGUGUCCAUAAGAUGGCAACCAGGAUGAUAAAAGUUACAGCAAUCAAGCCUUAUGAAGAAUGGCUGACAGAGCAGUGUAUGUUGAGCCUGGAAAAGAGAAGACUGAUUAGCACUAUGAUAUCCACCUUUAUCUGUGGUUUUCUGCAAUCAUCAUUUGGUUGGACUUGAUGACUCUUGGAAUUGCUUCCAGCUUUACAGUUGUAUGGACUUGUGAUUCUGUUGCUCCUUCUUGCUGGUUUGGAGAAGAAAAAGAAGGAAAGAGCAGCAAAACCAAAAAGUACCAGCAAAUAACAGUGCUGAUGACCUGCUUCAAGAUGAGUAUGAUCCUGCUAAUUGCUCUGAAUCUGUGAGUGACUUUUAGUAUCAUUCAGUCGUAUACGACUAAAUGACUAAACAACAGCACAGUAUCUUGUUAGGAAAAACAGAUAUAUACUUCCUUCAAGAGACCCAUAUUAAACAAGGCAAAGAGAAGUAUUUGCAGCAAUUUAUUCAUCUUGUAGGAAGAGUAAAAAAGGAGGUUUGCUUAUGAUGUUAAGUAAUCCAAAUAUAGAAGUACUGAACAUAAAGAAAGAACAUUGUGGGAGAUGU